CCUGGCGGUUACGCGCUCCGUCUCCUUCCGCCCCCGCGCGCGCCUGCCCUGCUCCGGCCGCCUCACCCUUUUCGGGGCGUUUGGGCAGCGCGCCUGUGGGGGCGAAGCCCGGAGCAAGCCACCGAGCCAAUGGGGCGCGGCGGAGCCUGAGUCGGACCCAGACGGGCGGCGGCGGCUGAGGUGGAAGCGGAAGGAGGCGGUGGCGACGGAGGGGGGAAGAUGGCGGCGCCCGUCCCGCUGAGAGUGUUGGUGCCGCGGUGGGAGCGGGUGGCCUGGUACGCCGUGUGUGCCUCCGGGAUCCUGCUGUCCAUCUACGCCGACCACGUGGAGCGGGAGAAGGAGCGGACCCCGAGCGCCGGGCCUUCUGCAACCUGGGGCCCUGGGUGAAGUGCCCCGCCGCCCUUGCCUCCAGGGGUCACGAGCAUCAGCAGUCCAGGAAAGGAAGCAAAGCAAAUGGUGAAUGACAUGCUGGUGACAGACAGUGCAGGGAGGCAACUACAGAGCUCAGCAGCUCCUCCUCUUGUAGGGGGACAUCAGCAGGCACCACAGUAGCACCGCAGAGCUGCAGAAAGCUGAAGCCAAGAAGGAGGAGACUUGGAAGCUGAUGGAGGCUGACAAGGCACAGACAGGGCAGAAAGAACCACUGGAAAGAUCACUCCUUUAAGAGCUUAUCCACUCUGAAUCACACCUCACCUUCAGAGAGAAGCUUAAGAAACACUGGGGAGGGGUGGCAGGCUG